rnacentral:rRNA from 1 species
UACCUGGUUGAUCCUGCCAGUAGUCAUAUGCUCGUCUCAAAGAUUAAGCCAUGCAUGUCUAAGUACAGGCCUUUGUAAGCCGAAACCGCGAAUGGCUCAUUAAAUCAGUCGUAAUUUACCGGAUUUCGAUCCGAUCACACGGAUAACUGUGGUAAUUCUAGAGCUAAUACGUGCAACAAAGCUCCGACGCGUAAGUCUGAGAAAUUUUUUUUCAGUCUUUGCCGAAGGCGCAGUUAUUAGAAUCGAGAUAAAACAGAAAGCCGCCCACGUUAAAAAAUCCCUCUGUCCGUCGAGUCGAGGCUCAACGAGUCAGGUUUACAGGGAUCAGUACUACUAGCGUACGUCUUAUCGACUACGCGAAUGUAUUUUAUCUCGGUGACUCCGGAAUAACACAGCCGAGCGCUAAGGUCUUUUACAGUACCGGCGCCUUAUCCGUCGAGCGUCUGCCUUAUCAGCUUUCGAUUGUAAGUUCAAUGCUUACAAUGGCUGUUACGGGUAACGGGGAAUCAGGGUUCGAUUCCGGAGAGGGAGCCUGAGAAACGGCUACCACAUCUAAGGAAGGCAGCAGGCGCGCAAAUUACCCAAUCCCGGUUCGGGGAGGUAGUGACGAAAAAUAACGAUGCGAGACUCUUCCGAGNGCUCGCAAUCGGAAUGAGACCGAUGUAAUAACUCGAGUCAAGGAUUCAAUUGGAGGGCAAGUCUGGUGCCAGCAGCCGCGGUAAUUCCAGCUCCAAUAGCGUAUAUUAAAGUUGCUGCGGUUAAAAAGCUCGUAGUUGGAAUUCGCUUUUCGAACCGGGCGGGCCGAGAUUCGCUGACGGUCGCGGUGUGUGCCUUUAUAGGCGUGAGUAUGCGCGUAAACUUCUUCGUGACGUUUACCAUUACAACCCUAUAAGGUAGGCAUUCGUCGUCACGCUUUCUCGGGUAAAAUCCCGAACUUACCGGUUUCGGAAUGCCACAACGGCGUCGGCUCUCGCUCGUUGCUCUUAGUUGAGUGAUCGGGUGCGUUGCCGGCACGUUCACUUUGACAAAAUCAAUGUGCUCAAAGCGGGCACGUAAAAGAAAGCGUAGUUCAUCUACGCUAUAAUGCCCGAAUGGUGACGCAUGGAAUGAAGGAAUAGGACCUCGGUUCUACCUUAUAUGCUAUAUAUAAACCUAUUUUUAUUUCGGUGUUUUUCUGUUUUUGGGAACCCGAGGUAAUGAUUAAAAGGAACUGACGGGGGCUUAGGUAUUGCGACGCUAGAGGUGAAAUUCUUGGACCGUCGCAAGACCACCAACUGCGAAAGCAUUUGCCAAGAAUGUUUUCAUUAAUCAAGAACGAAAGUCAGAGGUUCGAAGGCGAUCAGAUACCGCCCUAGUUCUGACCGUAAACGAUGCUAACCAGCAAUCCGUCAGCGUCAUCAAUUACGACCUGGCGGGGCGCCCCCGGGAAACCUCAAGUUUUUGAGCUCCGGGGGGAGUAUGGUUGCAAAGCUGAAACUUAAAGGAAUUGACGGAAGGGCACCACCAGGAGUGGAGCCUGCGGCUUAAUUUGACUCAACACGGGAAAACUUACCAGGCCCAGACGCCGGAAGGAUUGACAGAUUAAAAGCUCUUUCUCGAUUCGGUGGGUGGUGGUGCAUGGCCGUUCUUAGUUGGUGGAGCGAUUUGUCUGGUUGAUUCCGAUAACGAACGAGACUCUAUCCUACUAAAUAGAAGGUCGAUAGCCUCUCGCGUCGCACGGCUUCUUACCGUGGAUCGCGUUCGUCCGGUGGGUUGGCGCGGCGUUUGAAAAGGUUUUCUCUUCAUUCGUUCGUCGUCGAUUCAUUCGUGUCGUUCGCGCUUAAGCGGAAAGACUAAGGGCGCGGCGCGGCGAGCGUCGACGAAUCUUCUUAGAGGAAUUGGCGGUUUUUUCCAGCCGUAAGAGAGAGAGCGAUAACAGGUCUGUGAUGCCCUUAGAUGUUCUGGGCCGCACGCGCGCUACAAUGCAGGGAUCAGCGCGCUUCCCCUCCGAGAGGAGCGGGCAACCGUGUGAAACCCCUUCUCGAUUGGGAUCGGGGAUUGGAACUAUUCCCCGUGAACGAGGAAUUCCUAGUAAGCGCGAGUCAUUAACUCGCGCUAAUUACGUCCCUGCCCUUUGUACACACCGCCCGUCGCUACUACCGAUUGAAUGAUUCAGUGAGGGUAUUGGACUGGCACCUUGAGUCGAAAGACUUUUGAGGUUGACGGAAAGAUAUCCGAACUUGGUCAUUUAGAGGAAGUAAAAGUCGUAACAAGGUUUCCGUAGGUGAACCUGCGGAAGGAUCAUUA